rnacentral:rRNA from 1 species
CAAGCGGUGGAUGAUGUGGAUUAAUUCGAUGCAACGCGAAAAACCUUACCUACCCUUGACAUGUACGGAAGGCCGAAGAGAUUUGGCUGUGCUCGAAAGAGAACCGUAACACAGGUGCUGCAUGGCUGUCGUCAGCUCGUGUCGUGAGAUGUUGGGUUAAGUCCCGCAACGAGCGCAACCCUUGUCAUUAGUUGCUACGAAAGGGCACUCUAAUGAGACUGCCGGUGACAAACCGGAGGAAGGUGGGGAUGACGUCAAGUCCUCAUGGCCCUUAUGGGUAGGGCUUCACACGUCAUACAAUGGUACAUACAGAGCGCCGCCAACCCGCGAGGGGGAGCUAAUCGCAGAAAGUGUAUCGUAGUCCGGAUUGUAGUCUGCAACUCGACUACAUGAAGUUGGAAUCGCUAGUAAUCGCGGAUCAGCAUGUCGCGGUGAAUACGUUCCCGGGUCUUGUACACACC